CACACGCCCCCUCAUUUCGGUGAAGAGACGCACCUACUCUCCCUACUAUGGGGUGCCUCUCAAGUGGCGAUGGCUCUAGGUAAGAGAUGAGAGGAGAAGGAGGCUAAUGGAGAGGCGGGAACCGUGGUACCGAGGACAGCUGAGCGGUUGGACACGCGGAGACUUUCCCGGGACCACGCCAGAGGCCGAGCCACCGGUCCGCUGCGAGCUCCGCCCCCUCCAUGCCUGCUCAGUGCGCACGCGCACCCGUCAUCCGGGUGCCGCUGCAGGUUGCGCUGGAGCAGAGUCGGGGGCGUGGUCCCCGUGGGGGGGCGUGGUCAGUGGCUCAUUGUGCGCAGCGUAGCGCGGCGCCGCUGGCCGCCCGGGGCCCGGGUUGGAAGUUGGUGCUGCCGCGGCCACCGCCUCCACCGCCGCUGCCUCCUCCUCCGCCGCCGCCGCCGCCCUGCAGCCCACUAGCUGCCUCGGCAGCGCGUUGCUUUCCCAAAAUGGCUGCCGCUGCCGGGGCCGUGGUAGCCUCGGCCGCCUCUGGGCCGGCGGAAGGGAAGAAGAUCACGGAGCUGCGGGUUAUCGACCUCAGGUCCGAGCUGAAGCGCCGCAACUUGGACAUCAACGGGGUCAAGACGGUACUGGUCUCCCGGCUGAAGCAGGCUAUUGAAGAGGAAGGAGGCGAUCCAGAUAAUAUUGAAUUAACUGUUUCAACUGAUACUCCAAACAAGAAACCAACCAAAGGCAAAGGUAAAAAACAAGAAGCAGAUGAGUUGAGUGGAGAUGCUUCUGUGGAAGAUGAUUCUUUUGUCAAGGACUGUGAAUUGGAGAAUCAAGAGACACAUGACCAAGAUGGAAAUGAAGAGCUAAAGGACUUGGAAGAAUUUGGUGAAAAUGAAGAGGAAAUUGUGCAUUCCCAGGAGUUGCUUUCUACAGAAGAGAACAAGACAACUCAGGAAUUUGUAGAGGCAGAAGCAAUAGAAGAUAGAGAAAAAGAGGACAUCGAAAGUCAGGAAACUGAAGCUCAAGAAGGUGAAGAUGACACCUUUCUAACAGCUCAAGAUGGUGAGGAAGAAGAAAAUGAGAAAGAUAUAGCAGGUUCUGGUGAUGGCACACAAGAAGUAUCUAAACCUCUUCCUUCAGAAGGGAGCCUAGCUGAGGCUGAUCACACAGCUCAUGAAGAGAUGGAAGCUAAUGCGACUGGGAAAGAAGCUGAGGAUGACAACAUCUCGGUCACAAUCCAGGCUGAAGAUGCCAUCACUCUGGAUUUUGAUGGUGAUGACCUCCUAGAAACAGGUAAAAAUGUGAAAAUUACAGAUUCUGAAGCAAGUAAGCCAAAAGAUGUGCAGGACGCCAUUGCACAGAGCCCGGAGAAGGAAGCCAAGGAUUAUGAGAUGAACCCGAACCAUAAAGAUGGUAAGAAGGAAGACUCCGUGAAGGGUGAGCCUGUCGAGAAGGAAGCCAGAGAAAGUGCUAAGAAAGCAGAAUCUGGAGACAAAGAAAAGGAUACUUUGAAGAAAGGGCCCUCGUCUACAGGGGCCUCUGGUCAAGCAAAGAGCUCUUCAAAGGAAUCUAAAGACAGCAAGACAUCAUCUAAAGAUGACAAAGGGAGCACAGGCAGUGCUGGUGGGAGCAGUGGAAGCUCAACCAAGAACAUCUGGGUCAGUGGACUGUCUUCUAAUACCAAAGCUGCUGAUUUGAAGAACCUCUUUGGCAAAUAUGGAAAGGUUCUAAGUGCAAAGGUAGUUACAAAUGCUCGAAGUCCUGGGGCAAAAUGCUAUGGCAUCGUAACCAUGUCUUCAAGCACAGAAGUGUCCAGAUGUGUUGCACAUCUCCAUCGCACAGAGCUGCAUGGACAACUGAUUUCUGUGGAGAAAGUCAAAGGUGAUCCUUCUAAGAAAGAAAUGAAGAAAGAAAAUGAUGAGAAGAGUAGCUCACGGAGCGCUGGUGAUAAAAAGAACGCGAGUGAUCGGAGUGCCAAUUAUUCUGUUUUUUUGUCUUGAAUGAUAUGGUCAGGACACAAGCAUCUAUUAAAAAAGAAGAGAAAAGGUCAUCUGAGAAAUCAGAAAAAAAAGAAAGCAAAGAUACUAAGAAAAUAGAGAAAGAUGAGAAGAACGACGAUGGUCCAAGUGGGCAGACUUCAGAGUCCCUGAAAAAGAGUGAAGAGAAGAAGCGGAUAAGUUCAAAGAGUCCAGGACAUAUGGUGAUACUAAACCAAACCAAGGGAGAUCAUUGUAGGCCGUCAAGAAGGGGCAGAUAUGAGAAAGGUCAUGGAAGAAGCAAAGAAAAGGAGAGGGCUAGCCUAGAUAAAAAAAGAGACAAAGACUACAGAAGGAAAGAGAUCUUGCCUUUUGAAAAGAUGAAGGAACAAAGAUUGAGAGAACAUUUAGUUCGUUUUGAAAGACUGAAACAAGCAGUGGAAUUCAGAAGACGAAAAGAGAUUGCAGAAAGAGAGCGUCGAGAGCGUGAACGCAUUAGAAUAAUUCGUGAACGGGAAGAACGGGAACGCUUACAGAGAGAGAGAGAGCGCCUAGAAAUUGAAAGGCAAAAACUAGAGAGAGAGAGAAUGGAACGCGAACGCUUGGAAAGGGAACGCAUUCGUAUUGAACAGGAGCGGCGCAGGGAAGCUGAAAGGAUUGCUCGGGAGAGAGAGGAGCUCAGAAGGCAGCAGCAGCAGCUUCGCUAUGAACAAGAAAAAAGGAAUUCUUUGAAACGCCCACGUGACGUAGACCAUAGGCGAGAUGACCCUUACUGGAGCGAGAAUAAAAAGUUAUCUCUAGAUACAGAGGCACGAUUCGGCCAUGGGUCUGACUAUCGUCAACAGAGCAGGUUCCUUGACUUCAGUCACCGAGAACGGGCCAGGUUUCCUGACACUGCAUCUGUGCAGUCAUCCUUUGAAAGACGGGAACGGUUUGUUGGUCAAAGUGAAGGAAAGAAACCGAGACCAGCAGCCCGAAGAGAAGAGCCAAGUUUUGAAAGGUACCCUAAAAACUUCAGUGAUUCCAGAAGAAAUGAGCCUCCACCACCAAGAAAUGAACUUAGAGAAACAGACAGACGAGAGGUCCGAGGGGAGAGAGACGAGAGAAGAACAGUAAUCCUUCAUGACCGACCUGAGGUCGCUCACCCCAGACACCCUCGAGAGACUGUGCCCAAUCCUUCUAGACCAACUUCCUGGAAAAGCGAAGCGAAUAUGUCCACAGAGAAACGGGAGUCACGAGUUGAAAGGCCAGAAAGAUCUGGGAGAGAAGUCUCUGGACACACUGUGAGGGGAGCGCCCCCCGGGAAUCGGAGUAGUGCCUCAGGCUAUGGAACCCGAGAGGGAGAGCGAGGAGUCAUUGCUGACAGAGGAAGCGGAACACAGCACUACCCUGAAGAACGACAUGUCGUGGAACGUCAUGGACGGGACACAAGUGGACCAAGGAAAGAGUGGCAUGGCCCACCCUCUCAGGGGCCUAGCUACCAUGACACAAGACGAAUGGGUGAUGGCCGAGCAGGAGCAGGCAUGAUAACCCAACACUCAAGCACUGCGUCCCCAGUGAACAGGAUUGUACAGAUGAGUGGUAACUCCUUGCCAAGAGGAAGCAGCUCGGGGUUUAAGCCGUUUAAGAGUGGACCUCCACGGCGAUUUUAACGCAAGCUUCCUGCUGUGGCUUCAAGAUAAUUUAUUGAGAUCUCCUGUAAACGUUCCCUGACUGCUUACUAGGAGAACCUCUGACUGCUUGAGAGUUCUAGCUGACUGUUGUUUUUCUUUAUAAAAAAAUUUAACACGAUUUCUUUUCUCAACUUUAGAGAAGAUGUUUAAAUAGUUCUGUUGAAACUUUUCAUAGUUUUGUGUACCAUUCAACCUUUUCUUGCAGCACUGAGACCCAUUUGAAAGGAUUGGCACAAGGCUGUUCUGUUUGGCACUGUGUGAACAUGAGUGGUUUGCAGCUGAAUGGUAGUGGUUUCAUUUGCAGCGUAGCUCUGUGGUGUCACCAGUGUUGGCUGCCUCCAUUUUGAAGGCUAUUUGAGCUUCAAAAGCCUGCUGUCUAAUUUUUAGAGAAUAAGAUUGUUCCCUGCAUUUCGGAGUAUUAUGUAACCUAUUUUUGCAGAAGGUACUGUUACAUUAAGUGCAUCUGUGUAUCCUGGUUAAAAAAAAAAUGUAAUCUUUUUGGAAAUAAACCUUCAUAUUCUGUAUAGUU